rnacentral:rRNA from 1 species
UACAGGGGGGGCAAGCGUUGUUCGGAAUUACUGGGCGUAAAGGGCCAGUAGGCGGCCAACUAAGUCACACGUGAAAUCCCCAGGCUUAACCUGGGAACUGCGUGUGAUACUGGAUGGCUUGAAUUCGGGAGAGGGAUGCAGAAUUCCAGGUGUAGCGGUGAAAUGCGUAGAUAUCUGGAGGAAUACCGGUGGCGAAGGCGAGUCUCUGGGAUGAUGCUGACGCUGAGGCGCGAAAGCCAGGGGAGCAAACGGG